AUUGAACGCUGGCGGCAGGCUUAACACAUGCAAGUCGAGCGGGGGAAGGUAGCUUGCUACCGGACCUAGCGGCGGACGGGUGAGUAAUGCUUAGGAAUCUGCCUAUUAGUGGGGGACAACAUCUCGAAAGGGAUGCUAAUACCGCAUACGUCCUACGGGAGAAAGCAGGGGAUCUUCGGACCUUGCGCUAAUAGAUGAGCCUAAGUCAGAUUAGCUAGUUGGUGGGGUAAAGGCCUACCAAGGCGACGAUCUGUAGCGGGUCUGAGAGGAUGAUCCGCCACACUGGGACUGAGACACGGCCCAGACUCCUACGGGAGGCAGCAGUGGGGAAUAUUGGACAAUGGGGGGAACCCUGAUCCAGCCAUGCCGCGUGUGUGAAGAAGGCCUUAUGGUUGUAAAGCACUUUAAGCGAGGAGGAGGCUACUUUAGUUAAUGCCUAGAGAUAGUGGACGUUACUCGCAGAAUAAGCACCGGCUAACUCUGUGCCAGCCGCCGCAGUAA
rnacentral:rRNA from 1 species